CUAACGUCCGUCGUGAAGAGGGAAACAACCCAGACCGCCAGCUAAGGUCCCAAAGUCAUGGUUAAGUGGGAAACGAUGUGGGAAGGCCCAGACAGCCAGGAUGUUGGCUUAGAAGCAGCCAUCAUUUAAAGAAAGCGUAAUAGCUCACUGGUCGAGUCGGCCUGCGCGGAAGAUGUAACGGGGCUAAACCAUGCACCGAAGCUGCGGCAGCGACGCUUAUGCGUUGUUGGGUAGGGGAGCGUUCUGUAAGCCUGUGAAGGUGUGCUGUGAGGUAUGCUGGAGGUAUCAGAAGUGCGAAUGCUGACAUAAGUAACGAUAAAGCGGGUGAAAAGCCCGCUCGCCGGAAGACCAAGGGUUCCUGUCCAACGUUAAUCGGGGCAGGGUGAGUCGACCCCUAAGGCGAGGCCGAAAGGCGUAGUCGAUGGGAAACAGGUUAAUAUUCCUGUACUUGGUGUUACUGCGAAGGGGGGACGGAGAAGGCUAUGUUGGCCGGGCGACGGUUGUCCCGGUUUAAGCGUGUAGGCUGGUUUUCCAGGCAAAUCCGGAAAAUCAAGGCCGAGGCGUGAUGACGAGGCACUACGGUGCUGAAGCAACAAAUGCCCUGCUUCCAGGAAAAGCCUCUAAGCAUCAGGUAACAUCAAAUCGUACCCCAAACCGACACAGGUGGUCAGGUAGAGAAUACCAAGGCGCUUGAGAGAACUCGGGUGAAGGAACUAGGCAAAAUGGUGCCGUAACUUCGGGAGAAGGCACGCUGAUACGUAGGUGAAGCGACUUGCUCGUGGAGCUGAAAUCAGUCGAAGAUACCAGCUGGCUGCAACUGUUUAUUAAAAACACAGCACUGUGCAAACACGAAAGUGGACGUAUACGGUGUGACGCCUGCCCGGUGCCGGAAGGUUAAUUGAUGGGGUUAGCGCAAGCGAAGCUCUUGAUCGAAGCCCCGGUAAACGGCGGCCGUAACUAUAACGGUCCUAAGGUAGCGAAAUUCCUUGUCGGGUAAGUUCCGACCUGCACGAAUGGCGUAAUGAUGGCCAGGCUGUCUCCACCCGAGACUCAGUGAAAUUGAACUCGCUGUGAAGAUGCAGUGUACCCGCGGCAAGACGGAAAGACCCCGUGAACCUUUACUAUAGCUUGACACUGAACAUUGAGCCUUGAUGUGUAGGAUAGGUGGGAGGCUUUGAAGUGUGGACGCCAGUCUGCAUGGAGCCGACCUUGAAAUACCACCCUUUAAUGUUUGAUGUUCUAACGUGGACCCGUGAUCCGGGUUGCGGACAGUGUCUGGUGGGUAGUUUGACUGGGGCGGUCUCCUCCUAAAGAGUAACGGAGGAGCACGAAGGUUGGCUAAUCCUGGUCGGACAUCAGGAGGUUAGUGCAAUGGCAUAAGCCAGCUUGACUGCGAGCGUGACGGCGCGAGCAGGUGCGAAAGCAGGUCAUAGUGAUCCGGUGGUUCUGAAUGGAAGGGCCAUCGCUCAACGGAUAAAAGGUACUCCGGGGAUAACAGGCUGAUACCGCCCAAGAGUUCAUAUCGACGGCGGUGUUUGGCACCUCGAUGUCGGCUCAUCACAUCCUGGGGCUGAAGUAGGUCCCAAGGGUAUGGCUGUUCGCCAUUUAAAGUGGUACGCGAGCUGGGUUUAGAACGUCGUGAGACAGUUCGGUCCCUAUCUGCCGUGGGCGCUGGAGAACUGAGGGGGGCUGCUCCUAGUACGAGAGGACCGGAGUGGACGCAUCACUGGUGUUCGGGUUGUCAUGCCAAUGGCACUGCCCGGUAGCUAAAUGCGGAAGAGAUAAGUGCUGAAAGCAUCUAAGCACGAAACUUGCCCCGAGAUGAGUUCUCCCUGACCCUUUAAGGGUCCUGAAGGAACGUUGAAGACGACGACGUUGAUAGGCCGGGUGUGUAAGCGCAGCGAUGCGUUGAGCUAACCGGUACUAAUGAACCGUGAGGCUUAACCUUACAACGCCGAAG
rnacentral:rRNA from 3 species